AUCCUUUUGUAGUUCAUAAGUGUGAUGAUUGGGUGUUCACGCUUUUGUGUGAGAUGUGCCUCCCACAAACCUUGUUACGACAACGGCACAUUACCCGUCUGACG
ensembl:snoRNA